rnacentral:lncRNA from 1 species
ACCACACCAAAUUCAACAUUAAGGGCCAACCCUGACCACAGCUGAGCCGUGUGAAGAGGCUGACAGCGGCGUGGCCACCACCCAGGAUGGAGAGAAAGGCACUGUGAGGUGUUAAUGGAAAAAUCCAACUUCCUUUUCUUCCAAAGAUGAUGACUGAAACCAAAGUGGAGCUUUCCCUUGUGAAGUGAAAGCAAAGUUUUAAAAUUUUUUCUCCUCUGCAAGAAAAUAUAUUUCAGAAAAUCUCUAUCUCAAAAAUGAAGCAAUUAAGAACUGUCUGGCUGUGAGGAUCUGGCCUCAACUUGACUUAAAGCAACAACUUCAGUUACAUAUCAAGAUGAAACUUUCUGAGAUGCAAGUGGGUGUUAAAUGGUUCAGCAAAGCCAAGCCAGAGCAGUUGGUGUGCUUUGAAAUGAAGCAACAUUGGAAAAAUGAAAUCUACUGAAAGAUCACUACGUGUUUCAAAGGCCUUCAGACUCAGACUGGAACUGCACCGUUGGCUCUCCUGGGUGGGUCUCCAGCUUGCUGACCACAGACCUUGAGACUUCUCAGCCUUUAGAAUCAUGGAAGCCAAUUCCUUAUAAUAAUAUAUAUCCUUUUCCUAGUCUGUGGACUUUUCCCAGCUCCAGACAGACAACCUUCUAUAAACUCCAGGAUGCUCCAUCAAUGCCGUCUGGACUCUACAGAUUUUGACCCUGAAGUAAAGUAGGAAAGGCUAUGAGGACAUGUUAAAUGUUGUACUACCGCCUGAAGCCUUUUCUUCUUUAAAUUUUUCAACAAGAGUUGAAUGCACACGUGGAGCUUAAUUGGACAACAACUUUUCUCCUCUUCUGUGGGAUCCCGUCAGUGCUUUAAGCAAUGAGAAGGCAGCUCAUUUCCAAGUUUGUGUGGUAAAUUUGGGGCAAGUGGGAGAAAAGAAAGAAAGGCUGAGUCUUAUAGGGUGUGAUUUGGUUCUAGACAUGCUUAUGUUACUUUUUAUAAGAUUAUCCAUUUGACUAGAUUUCUUUCCUGCUGACAAAAGAGGCAAUUUCUACAUAUAAAAUAAAUCUGAUUAAAACUC